rnacentral:rRNA from 1 species
UACGUAGGAGGCGAGCGUUGUCCGGAAUUACUGGGUGUAAAGCGCGUGUAGGCGGUGAGUUAAGUCUGUUGUGAAAGCGCCCGGCUCAACCGGGCAGAGUCAAUGGAAACUAGCGCACUGGAGGUCGGUAGAGGCGAGUGGAAUUCCCGGUGUAGUGGUGAAAUGCGUAGAGAUCGGGAGGAACAACCAGUGGCGAAAGGUCGGCCUCGCUGGGCCCGGCACCUGACGCAUGAGACGCG